UCAAGUAAAUAUUCGAAUGCUCGAGGGGCUAUCAAGACUUCGCAAUUACCUUCUACUACAAAUCAAAAUUUUCUAUUAUUAAUCCAUUGUAUAAUGACUGGACCUUGGAGAGCCCGAUAGGAAAUCGAAAUAGUUGUGGAAGGGGGCGGAAGAUACUUUAUUAUAUACGAGGAACUCACGAAAAUAUCUCAGUGCUCAAGCAUCCAAUCAAUUCAAAUGAGGGUCAACAAAAAAAGAAUAGGACCUAUUAUUCCUACAUGUUCCAUUAGUAACAUUCCCUUGAGAUGUUACUGCGGAUUUUGCUUGGGUUUAAUCUUUCCCGAUUAUAAAUCAUAUAGAAAUUUCUUAUAAAAUGAGCGAAUUUAUUGGAUUGGUUUAUUAAUAGUCUUCGUUCUUUUUGACUCUGCGCCAUUGAUUCUACUAUUAUUAGUGAGGAAUAAUGGAACAAUUCCUUUAUAUUUAUAGAGAUAGGGGACAUAAUUCAUAUGGAUAUAGUAAGUCUUGCUUGGGCUGCUUUAAUGGUAGUCUUUACUUUUUCCCUUUCACUCGUAGUGUGGGGAAGGAGUGGACUCUAGGGGUUCUGCUAAUUGAGUUAAGGAAGCAAACUGUAUCAUUAUCAAUUGCUUUCUAGAUGGUUCUGCAACACGUUUGGAACAAAAUAAAAAUAUCUUCAUUUUGAAAUUCCAUUGGACUCGACUGGAGUAAUGUAUUAUAGGAAUCAGCCUCUUUCAAUCAAAGAACUAUUUCAACGAUUCCCAUGUUUGUAGUUCGAAAGGAAAAGGAUCCCAGGAAAUUUAUUCGAACCUAAUUCUUACUAAAUUUUCUAUUCCAAUCAAUGGCCUCUUCCUAGGUGAUACUGAGGAGGGCCGGACCCGUUUUUUAUUUGGUUCUCUCUUUACUGUUCAAAGAAAAAGUGGUUUUGUUAAGUGUAUAAGCACUUUGUAUGAGAAAGAAAGGAUAUAAACAUAGUGGUUGUCUAACGAGAUACUAUUUAGAAUAAGAUCGUCAGGUGAGUCACAUAUUGCGCAUUUACCUUUCGAAUUUUGGAAAUUGGAUUUAGACUUUAUCGACUUAUUUCAUAUCAUGGUUCAGGCCUUAAAAAUCAGUGAGGUUUACUCUUCCUUUUCGAUGCCCGUGGAACUACUGUCAAUGGUUUACUUCUUAGGAAUGUUAAAAAAAAAAAGAUUACUACGUGAUUUUUUGAAUAUGCCUAUAUCUAUCGCUUUUGCUUCAUUGAUUUGAUUCUCUCAAUAGAUACUGAGAUUCAUAUUGGAAAUCAAAAAUAUAGUAAUUCAAACUAUAAGACAUAGGAGUAAUUCAGAUUGAUCAGAACAAAUAGAUAUAGCAAAUAAAUGGAAUUGGAUGCUAUGUCAAUCCCAUAUAUGGAAUUGAUAUUCACAUAUAUCAAGAUAAUAUUGUAGAUUGAUAUAUAGAUCCAUAUCAAAUGCAGCCUCUAUCUUUAUUUUAUUCCAGGGGGCAGCUUUAUAACAAGAAUCUAACUAAUAAAUAGUAUGGUAGAAAGAAAUAGAUGAAUCUUUCUACCAUACUAUCUAUCUAUUAGAAUACUGCCGAUUCUAGUCCACUCAUUUCAUUUAAGACAUGAAAUUGGAAUCUUUUUCAUUUUAUUUCGUCAAUUUUGGCUAAGAACUCAGAAGUCAAGUUUCAUUCAAAUUAGUUAAUAAUUAAUCGUUUUGACUGACUGUUUUUACAUAAAUGAUAAGUAGAAAAGCGGUAGGAACUAGAAUAAAUAGUGCAGUAGCAAUAAAUGCAAGAAUAUUUACUUCCAUAAUCUCAUCGGUUUUUUACUUCGCAAUAACUCGGGAUUUAAUCCCAUAGAGAUGAUAAAUCUUUGGCCUGUAAAUUCAAUGAAUGAAUAUUACCUCUCGAUGAUCUUGAAUCAGAUCAAUAUCAUGAAUAACAAUAUCUGAACUAUCAAAUAAAUUCGUCGUCGAGAAUUGAAUAGUAUAACAUAGGAAGUUCUUUUAUCCAUACCGCCCCAAACUCGGAUUGCUGACCUAACCCAAAAUUCCUUUAUUUAUUUAUCAUUUUUUAUUAUCUGUUCUUUUUUUCUCUCUAAUCUAUCUAGUUCCUUCUUGUACAAUCAUCUGAUGAAGUCUCAUCAAAUAGCUCUUCCACUUCCAGUGGUCACAUAGUUACAAACCCAAACAAACAAUAAAAGCUAAAUGGAAAAAGAAAGGAGUUUAGAACGAAACUAUUUUUGACUUGGAAGACAAAGAAGUGUGAUAAAGAUGAGACCGUAUAAAAUGAAUAUUCAUCAAAUUGACUAUUUUCCGAUUUGUUCGGUCGUCGAUGGGGCCUUAAAACAAAAUGAAAAAUAGGAAAAAUGAUUCAUUCGCCUUUCUAAGAGGAGUAGGAUCUUUGGUUGAUCUGUCCUUCCCCCUCCUUUCUUCGUCGAUUAUUAGCCCCGGGACACCUAUACCAAAAGCUCAGUGUGCAAUUUGCAUGAAAUCUAUUUUGCAACUUCAAACUAGUAAGUCAGGUUCCAUAAAUCCGUAGCCAGAAAAAGAAAUUGUUUUUUUUUUUUUUUUGUUUUUUCUGGAAAGUAUUUUCUUAUAUUCAAUUUUGUAUUGGACAACAAAGGAAUUCCUUUUGUGUAUGCGCGCCUCAAAAAAGUAUAGUACUCGAUUCCAUUACAUGCAUCGGGGGCAAUCGAAAAAGCCAGCAUUUCUUGGAAUACUGACUAUAAUGCUACCAAUAAUUGUACUAAUCCAACCGCAUAUGUCUUUCUCCUACCAAAAGGAAAGAAAAAAGAAAUAAGGAUUUCCCCUUUGCUUUGACAAUGGAAUUCUUCCCCCGGUCCCCUUCAGAAAAAGGGAGAGAUUUUUUGAUAUAUUUAUUGGAUCCGUCGGGACUGACGGGGCUCGAACCCGCAGCUUCCGCCUUGACAGGGCGGUGCUCUGACCAAUUGAACUACAAUCCCAGGGAAAUACGGGAUCUAGCAGAAAAUUUGAUUCUUUUUUAUCUCCGGAUCGGGUAUUUCUGAAGUACAAAGGGAGUUAUAUCAUCUCAUGGCGGAUUGGCGAAUUAUUGGGCCGAGCUGGAUUUGAACCAGCGUAGACAUAUUGCCAACGAAUUUACAGUCCGUCCCCAUUAACCGCUCGGGCAUCGACCCAGGAAGAAUCAAUUUUCAACUUAUUGGUAAUCCAUGAUCAAUUUCCUUUCGUAGUACCCUACCCCCAGGGGAAUUCGAAUCCCCGCUGCCUCCUUGAAAGAGAGAUGUCCUAAACCACUAGACGAUGGGGGCCCGCUUGACCAACGGCCAUCAUACUAUGAUGAUAGUAUGAUCCGUUUUUUAAAAUUGUCAAUAUAAUCAAAUGAUUCUAGCCGAGGGAUCUUUCCCCCCUUCAGAAUUGCAUAGAAUUGUUUUUUAUUCGUCAUUGACGAAUUAUUCAUUAGAAUCGACAUUAGAAAUCUAGUAGUAGUAUUUUUUUUAAUUAUUUCAAUUGAAUUUAUUUCUAUUCGAGUCGGUCUUGAAACAAUUCAUUGCAUUUUCUCCUAUACUUCCUAGGUAAAUCCAUUUUAUUAUUCAACAAUGAGCCACUAGACACUAUGUAUCUACUGCACGUACUUAAUGCAUAUAUACUUAUGUUUAUAAUAUAAGUACAUAUAGAUAUUUUAUCCACAUAGUGAAUAAUUCCGGAAUUAAAUAAAAAAGGCCCUUUUAACUCAGUGGUAGAGUAACGCCAUGGUAAGGCGUAAGUCAUCGGUUCAAAUCCGAUAAGGGGCUUUGUAAAACCCCAAUCUAGUAUUCAUAUUUGAUGGGAGAAUUUUCUUUUUAUUUGUAAUAAAAAAAGUAACUAACUGGAUAAUACAUUAUCAUUAUACUUAGUUAUAAAGUUGAACAUUUGUUUAGUCAAUUUUCAUUAGUAUGAAUUUAGGAAUAAUGAAAAGUCACUUCUUGAAUCACCGAAUAUUCCUAUUUUCCAUUAUACCAACCAAAUCGAUUCGAAAGGUUAGAAAUCAACAAAAGAAAAAGUAAAAAGUAAGUGGACCUGACCUAUUGAAUCAUGACUAUAUCCGCUAUUCUGAUAUUAAAAUUCGAUAGAGAUGAAAUUGGAGCAGUUGAUUUUUUUUAUUUCAUUUUUUUGUUUUGGACUCCACAAGAAUUUGUCGAUAUUUCCGAUUAAAUCUUCUUGUUACUAGAUUUUCUAUAGGAAAAAUUAUCGGAAUAAUUUGUUAUUCCUUUCCUCUACAGAGAAACCUUUCUUCCAAGGCACACCAUAAGAGCCAUUUAUUAUUUUUCUUUGAUUCUAGAUCAAAGAUUAAUUUCAUCUAUAUUAUAUAUUAAUUAUAUUAAGUAGAUUGUAGAUUGAUUUCGAUGUAUAUCUAUCAGAUCAUGGCUUCAUGUACCAAAUAUUUCAAUAUCGUUGCAUCCGGUAUUUUUGUUUUGUUCCACCAGUGUGAUGAAGAAUAGAUCCGAGAAAGAGACUUUCAUUUCCAGUCUCCUAUUUAUUUAUUGAAUUUUAGAUUUUCUAAAAGGAAAAAUAGUAGAUUAUCUCUUUUUCUAACAGAUAAAAGAAUCUAAAAAUCAAUAUUCGAUCGAACUGUCUUUUUUCCUUCGAUCCGUGGAAAGAUAUACUCUGGGGUUUUCGAUUUAUUUAUAUGAAGUAUGAAGGAAAGGGACCGUUUGGUCCUUGAAGAGUUCUUUCAAAACAAGGGAUUGAUUGAAUUAUCUUAUUAAGACAAUUCAUGGUUCAUAUGCUUAGUCAGAAGGAAUAAUCCAAUGGAGUUCAUGGAUUUACCUAGGUCAGUUUAUGGGCUAAUCAAUAAAGGAUUUUUAUCUUCGAAACCCAUUGGGAAGGGCAGUGCAAGAGAAAUCAGACAAAAAUGAUCGGAUCUUGGGACGCCCCGAAAAAGAUAUGAGGUGCUCGGAAAUGGUCGAAGUAGUUGAAUAGGAGGAUCACUAUGACUAUAGCCAUUGGUAAGUUUACCAAAGACGAAAAUGAUUUAUUUGAUAUUAUGGAUGACUGGUUACGGAG
rnacentral:lncRNA from 1 species